UACGUAGGGUGCGAGCGUUAAUCGGAAUUACUGGGCGUAAAGCGUGCGCAGGCGGUGAUGUAAGACAGGUGUGAAAUCCCCGGGCUUAACCUGGGAACUGCAUUUGUGACUGCAUCGCUGGAGUGCGGCAGAGGGGGAUGGAAUUCCGCGUGUAGCAGUGAAAUGCGUAGAGAUGUGGAGGAACACCGAUGGCGAAGGCAGCCCCCUGGGUCAAGAUUGACGCUCAUGCACGAAAGCGUGGGGAGCAAACAGG
rnacentral:rRNA from 1 species